UUGUGAUCGCUAGUUAUUAAAAAAAAAAAGAAAAAAAAAAUCGAUCAAAAAAAGAAAAAAAGUAAAUUUUUUGGCUUGAAUCACUUCUGAAGAGAAAUCCAGGGGGAGUGGUGGAAGAGAAACCCUGCUGGCUGAAGAGAAACCCAGCCUUAGGACAGUUAAGGCGGAUCCACACAAAAAUCUCUUCAUUGUUCUUUCUCUUUUCUUUUCCCACAAAGUUUGUUUUGGGUUUUGACUGCUGAUUUUU
rnacentral:lncRNA from 1 species